GUCUCUAGCUAGAGAUCCUUCCUCUUGGAGCCCUUCUGUGAGCCCAGGAUAUGGGAUGAAAAACCAUCAUCGGCACCUUUGUUGAUGUCUGUUGCUUUGUAAGAACAGCUCCCUCUGAUACUCUCACUUAGACUUUCCCAGGCACCCCGCUGAGGUUUUGAUGUCAGAUUUUCUUUGCAAAUAUUGAACAUGAAAUCUAAACGUUAAUCCUGGGGCCCGGUGACAGCCGAUGCAUGGGUACAGUGAGGGGUGCCUGGGGUCUCCACGCCCCAGGGAGGGCAGGGAUAUGGCACAAUGGCAUGGGGACAGGGCAGGGAGCUGGGGUGGGCAGGAGGGAGCUCAUGGACAGAAGGAUGGGGGCAGCCCCAGAUGGCAUUAUGGGAUGGGAUGGGCAGAGUGCAGUGCUGGGCACCAGCCGCAUCCACUGUGCCACUGCCUCAGCUCCCGGAGCCCAACCUCCCACUCUGUGCACUGCCAGGUGAGGAGCUGGGCAGGAUGGACCAGGAGAUGCCUGCAUGGUAAGGUGAGCAUUACCAGAGUGGAAAGCUUUCCAAUUAAUCAAUGAGUUAAAUUACUGUUCAUUAAAUCUCCACAAUCUGCAAUGGCAGCCACUAACUAGCUGAUUCUCCUGGAUGCCAUACCUGGCCCUUCUCAGGUGCUGCUCUCAGUAAAGCACUCAAAGUCUCCUUUCCUGCCUGGAUGCUCUCAUGUAGCCAUGUCAGCCUCUCCAGUGGCAGUUCUGAAAAUCAGCAGUGUUCCAUCAUCAGAAUCUGGCAGGGGGAGCGCUGGGGUUUGGGUGCUGGCAAUGGCACUGUGGGGUUACUCCACCCACUCCGAGCCAAUGAGCCCUGCUGGUUCCCCAUCCCCAGUGGGAACGCCCCGGCCCGUUUCCCUGCUUACAGCUUCCUCCCUUGCAUGCUCCAUCUCUGCUCGAUUUGCUCUUCUGAAAUGCUUCAAAGCCCCAAAGUUUGCUCCUUUAAAGCUUUCCCUCCUUUCUCAAAGAUUAAUUACAGCUUCAAACACCUGCGGUAACAUUCUUCGAUUGCUGCAUUCCUGCUCAGUAACUUCCUGAGGAUUAAAAGUUCCUCUGCCUUUUGCCUGACAAUAACUUGCAUUGAAUCAGGCCCUCGUUCCAGCAGUGGCUGCAGCCGAAAGCCCCAUAAAGUCAGGUUAAUCUGAUUAAAAACCUGCGGUGUGAAGAGAAGGGAUAUUUUAUUGCCUUGCAAGGAUUCCAGUUCACGUACAGUUUGCAAGUGGAAGCAGUUAUUUCCCUGUAGUCUUGAAGUGCUGGAGCUGCAGAUCUCUGUGGUUACCCGAUCCUUUGGAACUUCAGAUUCAAGCAUCACCCAGAGCUGUCCCUGCAAGCUGUCCCAGCUGUUUGGGGGGGUCCAAAGCACAGUGCAUCCUCCUUCCCUGUGCAGGCACUGAAAGAGACCUCCAAUGCAUGGUGUGGUAUUUGCAGAGAGGGUGAGAGAACAACACUGACUGAUGGCCUGCUUGUUCCUCUCCCCAUUUUUACUUCUGUGAAGUGAACUUCAGCAGUGUGUGCUGAGCUUUCCCAGAGGACAAACCACUGAACCACUGGAUCAUUCCUGUGCUGAUGCUGUGUGGCACCCAACAGCCAGGGGAAGGACCCCUGGUGCUGCUGAUGGGAGGAUGGGAUUGGUAUCAUCCCACUGAACUGCUUCUCUUAUCUGCACUGUCUACUCAGCAUCUAAUGAACUAAUGAAAUAUGCAACAAUCCAGCUAUAGAAAAGACCUCACUGUUAAAUUAGCACUAAUUAGAGAUAAUUAUCUUGGCUGGUUUGAUGUUUCUAUGUAAUGAGCCCGGGUUUUCUUUUGUUGAGAAUUGGUGUGGUCAAAUAUAAGAAAUGGCACAUUGAAUUU
ensembl:lncRNA